GAGCUACCCCGUGGAUAUUUUAACCGGUGGAGACUGGGAAGAUUUAAAGCAAUCAUCAGAGGUUUACCUAUCAAGACUUCGCGACAGUGAGCAGGAAUCCACUGAGAGCUUUACUCUGCCCAAUGGAGAGAAGGUUGCUGUGACACUCUCCUCUCUGGCCUUUCUGCAGAUACACAGUGAACACUGGAUCCUGGGUCUGUCCAGCUCCCAGGCAGAUGCUGUCAGACCUGCUGAGCUUCUCCUGCAAUUUCUGUUUUUGUCGUAGUAGACUGGUUGGUCUCGUGAGAUUAUGUAUCUGGUCUGGGAAAGGCAUAGCAGAACAUUUCCUGAAGAAGAGAAACCAGGUGCUGGGGAAGAGCAAGGGGCUUUUGUAUCAGUGCAGACAGAGGACUAAAAGUCUGUACACAGGACAUCUAAAAGGACUUUAUUUUGAUCUGGUUACGAUUCAAAGGAACUGCUGCUUCAGAUGAACAGAACCUUAGCUGGGUUCCCCUGUACAAUACUGUAGGGAAAGAUAUAGAGGUCUGCACUGGAUGAAAUUAUUCUGCACAUCAAUAAGAUUUUG